rnacentral:rRNA from 1 species
GAUGAACGCUGGCGGCGUGCCUAAUACAUGCAAGUCGAGCGAACAGACGAGGAGCUUGCUCCUCUGACGUUAGCGGCGGACGGGUGAGUAACACGUGGAUAACCUACCUAUAAGACUGGGAUAACUUCGGGAAACCGGAGCUAAUACCGGAUAAUAUAUUGAACCGCAUGGUUCAAUAGUGAAAGACGGUUUUGCUGUCACUUAUAGAUGGAUCCGCGCCGCAUUAGCUAGUUGGUAAGGUAACGGCUUACCAAGGCAACGAUGCGUAGCCGACCUGAGAGGGGGAUCGGCCACCUGGGAGGUGAGACGCGGACCAUAGUCCUAAGGGAGGCAGCAGUAGGGAAUCUGCCGCAAUGGGGGGAAGCCUGACGGAACAACGCCGCGUGAGUGAUGAAGGUCUUCGGAUCGUAAAACUCUGUUAUUAGGGAAGAACAAAUGUGUAAGUAACUAUGCACGGAUUGACGGUACCGAAUCAGAAAGCCACGGCUAACUACGUG